GUUGUUCGGAAUUACUGGGCGUAAAGGGCUCGUAGGCGGCCAACUAAGUCAGACGUGAAAUCCCUCGGCUUAACCGGGGAACUGCGUCUGAUACUGGAUGGCUUGAGGUUGGGAGAGGGAUGCGGAAUUCCAGGUGUAGCGGUGAAAUGCGUGGAUAUCUGGAGGAACACCGGUGGCGAAGGCGGCAUCCUGGACCAAUUCUGACGCUGAGGAGCGAAAGCCAGGGGAGCAAACGGG
rnacentral:rRNA from 1 species